AAACUAACAGAAGUUGUGCAUGCUGCAGGUUUUUUUGUUUUAAUCGUUGCUCCAUUUGACAUCACUUUAGAUUCUGACUGAACGAGGGAAGUAAAGGAAACUUUAUUCCCAAGGAAAUUAUGAGGAACGCAGAGCUGUGAAUUUUAAUCCAGCUGACAACCGAUAAGGCAGAAAUGGAAAACAAGGCCAUGUAUCUGAGCACACAUGAAGAAAGGGAGAACACGUCCAUGUAUGAGGAAGCCUACGAUGGACACAACCUGUCCAAACUUAACCUUUGUGACCAAGUGUCUGGAAAGCGCCGCAGGA